rnacentral:tRNA from 1 species
CGGGGAGUGGCGCAGCCUGGUAGCGCGUCUGCUUUGGGAGCAGAGGGUCGCAGGUUCGAAUCCUGUCUCCCCGA